AAGCAACGCGAAGAACCUUACCUAGACUUGACAUCUCCUGAAUUACUCGUAACUGAGGAAGCCCUUCGGGGCAGGAAGACAGGUGGUGCAUGGUUGUCGUCAGCUCGUGUCGUGAGAUGUUGGGUUAAGUCCCGCAACGAGCGCAACCCUUGUCGUUAGUUGCUACCAUUAAGUUGAGCACUCUAGCGAGACUGCCGCGGUUAACACGGAGGAAGGUGGGGAUGACGUCAAAUCAUCAUGCCCCUUAUGUCUAGGGCUACACACGUGCUACAAUGGGGAGUACAAUGAGAUGCAAUACCGCGAGGUGGAGCAAAACUAUAAAACUUCCCCCAGUUCGGAUUGCAGGCUGAAACUCGCCUGCAUGAAGCCGGAGUUGCUAGUAAUCGCGAAUCAGAAUGUCGCGGUGAAUACGUUCCCGGGCCUUGUACACACC
rnacentral:rRNA from 1 species